rnacentral:rRNA from 2 species
GGGUUGUGAGGUUAAGCGACUAAGCGUACACGGUGGAUGCCCUGGCAGUCAGAGGCGAUGAAGGACGUGCUAAUCUGCGAAAAGCGUCGGUAAGGUGAUAUGAACCGUUACAGCCGGCGAUGUCCGAAUGGGGAAACCCAGUGCAAUUCGUUGCACUAUCGUUAACUGAAUACAUAGGUUAACGAGGCGAACCGGGGGAACUGAAACAUCUAAGUACCCCGAGGAAAAGAAAUCAACCGAGAUUCCCCCAGUAGCGGCGAGCGAACGGGGAGCAGCCCAGAGUCUGAAUCAGCUUGUGUGUUAGUGGAACGGUCUGGAAAGUCCGACGGUACAGGGUGAUAGUCCCGUACACCAAAAUGCACAGGCUGUGAACUCGAAGAGUAGGGCGGGACACGUGGUAUCCUGUCUGAAUAUGGGGGGACCAUCCUCCAAGGCUAAAUACUCCUGACUGACCGAUAGUGAACCAGUACCGUGAGGGAAAGGCGAAAAGAACCCCGGCGAGGGGAGUGAAAAAGAACCUGAAACCGUGUACGUACAAGCAGUGGGAGCACCUUCGGGUGUGACUGCGUACCUUUUGUAUAAUGGGUCAGCGACUUAUAUUCUGUAGCAAGGUUAACCGUAUAGGGGAGCCGCAGGGAAACCGAGUCUUAACUGGGCGUUAAGUUGCAGGGUAUAGACCCGAAACCCGGUGAUCUAGCCAUGGGCAGGUUGAAGGUUGGGUAACACUAACUGGAGGACCGAACCGACUAAUGUUGAAAAAUUAGCGGAUGACUUGUGGCUGGGGGUGAAAGGCCAAUCAAACCGGGAGAUAGCUGGUUCUCCCCGAAAGCUAUUUAGGUAGCGCCUCGUGAAUUCAUCUUCGGGGGUAGAGCACUGUUUCGGCUAGGGGGUCAUCCCGACUUACCAACCCGAUGCAAACUACGAAUACCGAAGAAUGUUAUCACGGGAGACACACGGCGGGUGCUAACGUCCGUCGUGAAGAGGGAAACAACCCAGACCGCCAGCUAAGGUCCCAAAGUCAUGGUUAAGUGGGAAACGAUGUGGGAAGGCACAGACAGCCAGGAUGUUGGCUUAGAAGCAGCCAUCAUUUAAAGAAAGCGUAAUAGCUCACUGGUCGAGUCGGCCUGCGCGGAAGAUGUAACGGGGCUAAACCAUGCACCGAAGCUGCGGCAGCGACACUAUGUGUUGUUGGGUAGGGGAGCGUUCUGUAAGCCUGCGAAGGUGUGCUGUGAGGCAUGCUGGAGGUAUCAGAAGUGCGAAUGCUGACAUAAGUAACGAUAAAGCGGGUGAAAAGCCCGCUCGCCGGAAGACCAAGGGUUCCUGUCCAACGUUAAUCGGGGCAGGGUGAGUCGACCCCUAAGGCGAGGCCGAAAGGCGUAGUCGAUGGGAAACAGGUUAAUAUUCCUGUACUUGGUGUUACUGCGAAGGGGGGACGGAGAAGGCUAUGUUAGCCGGGCGACGGUUGUCCCGGUUUAAGCAUGUAGGCUGGUUGUCCAGGCAAAUCCGGAUAAUCAAGGCUGAGGUGUGAUGACGAGGCACUACGGUGCUGAAGUAACAAAUGCCCUGCUUCCAGGAAAAGCCUCUAAGCAUCAGGUAACAUUAAAUCGUACCCCAAACCGACACAGGUGGUCAGGUAGAGAAUACCAAGGCGCUUGAGAGAACUCGGGUGAAGGAACUAGGCAAAAUGGUGCCGUAACUUCGGGAGAAGGCACGCUGGUGUGUAGGUGAAGUCCCUGCGGAUGGAGCUGAGACCAGUCGAAGAUACCAGCUGGCUGCAACUGUUUAUUAAAAACACAGCACUGUGCAAACACGAAAGUGGACGUAUACGGUGUGACGCCUGCCCGGUGCCGGAAGGUUAAUUGAUGGGGUUAUCCGUAAGGAGAAGCUCUUGAUCGAAGCCCCGGUAAACGGCGGCCGUAACUAUAACGGUCCUAAGGUAGCGAAAUUCCUUGUCGGGUAAGUUCCGACCUGCACGAAUGGCGUAAUGAUGGCCAGGCUGUCUCCACCCGAGACUCAGUGAAAUUGAACUCGCUGUGAAGAUGCAGUGUACCCGCGGCAAGACGGAAAGACCCCGUGAACCUUUACUAUAGCUUGACACUGAACAUUGAGCCUUGAUGUGUAGGAUAGGUGGGAGGCUUUGAAGCGUGGACGCCAGUCUGCGUGGAGCCAACCUUGAAAUACCACCCUUUAAUGUUUGAUGUUCUAACGUUGGCCCCUUACCGGGGUUGCGGACAGUGUCUGGUGGGUAGUUUGACUGGGGCGGUCUCCUCCCAAAGCGUAACGGAGGAGCACGAAGGUUAGCUAAUCCUGGUCGGACAUCAGGAGGUUAGUGCAAUGGCAUAAGCUAGCUUGACUGCGAGCGUGACGGCGCGAGCAGGUGCGAAAGCAGGUCAUAGUGAUCCGGUGGUUCUGAAUGGAAGGGCCAUCGCUCAACGGAUAAAAGGUACUCCGGGGAUAACAGGCUGAUACCGCCCAAGAGUUCAUAUCGACGGCGGUGUUUGGCACCUCGAUGUCGGCUCAUCACAUCCUGGGGCUGAAGUAGGUCCCAAGGGUAUGGCUGUUCGCCAUUUAAAGUGGUACGCGAGCUGGGUUUAGAACGUCGUGAGACAGUUCGGUCCCUAUCUGCCGUGGGCGCUGGAGAAUUGAGGGGGGCUGCUCCUAGUACGAGAGGACCGGAGUGGACGCAUCACUGGUGUUCGGGUUGUCAUGCCAAUGGCACUGCCCGGUAGCUAAAUGCGGAAGAGAUAAGUGCUGAAAGCAUCUAAGCACGAAACUUGCCCCGAGAUGAGUUCUCCCUGAGACUUUAAGUCUCCUGAAGGAACGUUAAAGACGAUGACGUUGAUAGGCCGGGUGUGUAAGCGCAGCGAUGCGUUGAGCUAACCGGUACUAAUGAACCGUGAGGCUUAACCUUACAACGCCGAAG